GGGGCUAUGGCUCAGGGGUAGAGCGUCUGCUUCGCAAUAAGCGAAUUUGUAGAAGGUCAAGGGUUCAAUUCCCUUUAGCUCCA